rnacentral:rRNA from 1 species
UGUAGCCGAAGCGAAAGCGAGUCUGAACAGGGCGUAUAGUCGGUAGUGGUAGACGCGAAACCAAGUGAUCUACCCUUGAGCAGGUUGAAGUCCGGGUAACACCGGAUGGAGGACCGAACCAAUAAGCGUUGAAAAGCUUCUGGAUGACUUGAGGGUAGGGGUGAAAGGCUAAUCAAACUUGGAGAUAGCUCGUACUCCCCGAAAUGCAUUUAGGUGCAGCCUUGACCAUUACUAAUGUGAGGUAGAGCGACUGAUAAGAUGCGAGGGCUUCACCGCCUAUCAAGUCUUGAUAAACUCCGAAUGCGCAUUAGUUUGAGGUCAGGAGUGAGGGCAUGGGUGCUAAGGUCCGUGCCCGAGAGGAGAAGAAUCCGGACCACCUGCUAAGGUCCCGAAAUAACAGCUAAGUUAAACUAACGAAGUCAGAUUGCUAAGACAGCUAGGAUGUUGGCUUGGAAGCAGCCAUUCAUUUAAAGAGUGCGUAACAGCUCACUAGUCGAGGAGUUUGGCGUGGAUAAUAAUCGGGUAUCAAGCUGUUUACCGAAGCAGUGGGAUCAUAUAAUGAUCGGUAGGGGAGCAUUCCACUCUGCGUCGAAGGUGGGGCGUGAGCCCUGCUGGAGCGUGUGGAAAAGCAAAUGUAGGUAUAAGUAACGAUAAAGGGGGUGAGAAACCCCCUCGCCGCAAGACUCAGGUUUCCUGAUCAACGCUAAUCGGAUCAGGGUCAGUCGGGUCCUAAGGCUCAGCCGAACGGCGAGGCCGAUGGCAGAACCGGUUAAUAUUCCGGUACUACCCUUUAGGGUGACGUGGAGACGCAGUCGUGACAAUGCCGCCAGCUGACGGAAUAGCUGGUUAAAGGGUGUAGAAGUUGAUUGUGGCAGGCAAAUCCACCACAAGAUUCGAACCUGACAGUAUGGAGCGUCCUUCCGGACAAUCCAACAGUGCAUGUAAUCAUACUGCCAAGAAAAUCCGCUAAACAUAACCUUCAGGGUACCCGUACCGCAAACGGACACACGUAGUCGGGUUGAAUAUACUAAGGCGCUUGAGUGAUUCACGGUUAAGGAACUAGGCAAAUUAACCCUGUAACUUCGGGAAAAAGGGUCCCUACCCGUUAGCGGGAGGGCGCAGAGAAUCGGUCCAGGCAACUGUUUAACAAAAACACAGGGCUGUGCGAAGUCGAAAGACGCUGUAUACAGCCUGACACCUGCCCGGUGCUGGAAGGUUAAGAGGAGAUGUCAUCGCAAGAGAAGCAUUGAAUUGAAGCCCCAGUAAACGGCGGCCGUAACUAUAACGGUCCUAAGGUAGCGAAAUUCCUUGUCGGGUAAGUUCCGACCUGCACGAAUGGUGUAAUGAUCUGGACACUGUCUCAACCGUGAGCUCAGUGAAAUUGUAGUAUCGGUGAAGAUGCCGAUUACCCGCGAUGGGACGAAAAGACCCCGUGAACCUUUACUAUAGCUUAUCAUUGAAUUUGGGCACGUGAUGUGUAGGAUAGGUCGGAGGCUUUGAAGCAGGCACGCCAGUGUUUGUGGAGCCGCUGUUGAAAUACGACCCUUCAUUUGUUUGAGUUCUAACUCGU